UGGCACUUGCUGAAAACCUAAAGGAACUAGU
rnacentral:piRNA from 1 species